rnacentral:rRNA from 1 species
AGCAGCAGCCACGGUAAUACAGAGGGUGCGAGCGUUAAUCGGAUUUACUGGGCGUAAAGCGUGCGUAGGCGGCUUCUUAAGUCGGAUGUGAAAUCCCUGAGCUUAACUUAGGAAUUGCAUUCGAUACUGGGAAGCUAGAGUAUGGGAGAGGAUGGUAGAAUUCCAGGUGUAGCGGUGAAAUGCGUAGAGAUCUGGAGGAAUACCGAUGGCGAAGGCAGCCAUCUGGCCUAAUACUGACGCUGAGGUACGAAAGCAUGGGGAGCAAACAGGAUUAGAGACCCGUGUAGUCCCUGUCUCUUAUAC